UUUCACAGAGUAUGUGAAAAUUGCCGUAGUUUCUCUUGCCAGUCUUCUCCUGGUCGGGGGUGUCUUCAUUAUAAUGUAUUGCCACAAAAAGAUGAUACAUGACAAGUUGUGUCAAAACCAAGGACAGAGCAGUGAACUUGCAAAUACCGGGAAUAAUGAAGAUUUAGAGCUGGCAAAUCUAACAAUGACAAG